UAUAUAUAUAUAUAUAUAUAUAUCGGAUGGGAGGGGGAAGUGGUGAAUAUGUUGACAGAAGAUAGAGAGCACAGAUGAUGAAAAUGCAUGCAAUUAUAAUAUGCAUCUCACUCCUUUGUGCUCUCUAUGCUUCUGUCAUCACACCUUCUUAUUCAACAACCCCCUCCCCUCCCCCUUUUUUCUUUAAUUACCCUCUUAAUUAAUUAUAACUCUUUCCCAUCCCCAUCUUUCUUUUUUAACCUUCUUAAUUACUUUUCUCUUUUACUUUUUUUUACUCUCUCUGUAUAUAUAUAUAUAUAGAUAUAUGCUCCAUUAUGAACAAUAUUGUCAUUUUAAUAUAUAUGAUUAAUAGCAGUUUUUUAUUUUUUUGGUUUAAGCAUCCAUGACAUAGUCAAAGUGAUGAUGGAAAAUUUAUUUCUUUAAUUUGUCUAAAUAUAUAACUUCUUCUGGUCUUAUAAGUACUCAUGUGUUGAUGAUAUAUGAUUUGAUUCUGACAUAUGUAUAUAUAUCUGCCGCCUUCUUUGACCAAACUCUAUUCUGAAAACUACCUUCUUAAUUAAUACCCUCCAGAUUUUCUAAGCUGCUUAGACUUGAGAUAUAUGUUUGGUUUUUUGAACAAGUCAAUACCAUUAUUGCCAGCUUGGUCAUGCUAGGAAACACGAGGACCACACAACAACAUUUUAUUAUGGUGUUCAAAUUAAUGGAAUUUAUUUAUACAUAUAUCUAUAUUUAGAGAGAGAGAGAGAGAGAGAGAGAGAGAGUCUGCAUCUGCAUCUGCAUCUAUAUAAAGUGUACUGGAAUGGAAACUUUAAUUUGGAUGCAA